rnacentral:tRNA from 1 species
GGUUCGCUAGCUCAGCUGGCAGAGCAUCUGACUUUUAAUCAGAGGGUCCCGGGUUCAAAUCCCGGGCGAGCCACCA